UACGAAGGGGGCUAGCGUUGCUCGGAAUCACUGGGCGUAAAGGGUGCGUAGGCGGGUCUUUAAGUCAGGGGUGAAAUCCUGGAGCUCAACUCCAGAACUGCCUUUGAUACUGAAGAUCUUGAGUUCGGGAGAGGUGAGUGGAACUGCGAGUGUAGAGGUGAAAUUCGUAGAUAUUCGCAAGAACACCAGUGGCGAAGGCGGCUCACUGGCCCGAUACUGACGCUGAGGCACGAAAGCGUGGGGAGCAAACAGGGAUUAGAUAC
rnacentral:rRNA from 1 species